GACAGAGGUCUCGAGCGUUAGGCGGAAUCACUGGGCUUAAAGCGUGUGUAGGCGGAUGCCUAAGUACCUUGUGAAAUCCCACGGCUCAACCGUGGAACUGCUUGGUAUACUGGGUGUCUUGAGCCACUUAGGGGCUACCGGAACAAAUGGUGGAGCGGUGAAAUGCGUAGAUAUCAUUUGGAACGCCAAUGGUGAAAACAGGUAGCUGGGAGUGUGCUGACGCUGAGACACGAAAGCUAGGGGAGCGAAUGGG
rnacentral:rRNA from 1 species